CUCGUAGGCGGCCAACUAAGUCAGACGUGAAAUCCCUCAGCUUAACUGGGGAACUGCGUCUGAGACUGGAUGGCUGGAAUCCGGGAGAGGGAUGCGGAAUUCCAGGUGUAGCGGUGAAAUGCGUAGAUAUCUGGAGGAACACCGGUGGCGAAGGCGGCAUCCUGGACCGGUAUUGACGCUGAGGAGCGAAAGCCAGGGAGCAAACG
rnacentral:rRNA from 1 species